rnacentral:tRNA from 1 species
GGUGGCGUGGCAGAGCGGCCUAAUGCACUCGCCUUGAAAGCGAGAGACGGC